GGGGAAUUUUCCGCAAUGGGCGAAAGCCUGACGGAGCAAGACCGCGGGGGGGAGGAAGGUUCUUGGAUUGUCAACCCCUUCUCUCAGGGAAGAAGAAAGUGACGGUACCUGAGGAAGAAGCAUCGGCUAACUCCGUGCCAGCAGCCGCGGUAAUACGGGGGAUGCAAGCGUUAUCCGGAAUGAUUGGGCGUAAAGAGUCCGUAGGUGGCUCAUCAAGUCUGCUGUUAAAGAGCGAGGCUUAACUUCGUAAAAGCAGUGGAAACUGAAGAGCUAGAGUAUAGUAGGGGCAGAGGGAAUUCCUGGUGUAGCGGUGAAAUGCGUAGAGAUCAGGAAGAACACCGGUGGCGAAAGCGCUCUGCUGGGCUAAAACUGACACUGAGGGACGAAAGCUAGGGGAGCGAAUGGGAUUANAUACCCCAUAGUC
rnacentral:rRNA from 1 species